CCUGUGCUGCCCCCGCAACGGUAAGCGAGUGCGGAUUUGCCAGUAUGCCACUGUGAGCGAUCCCCCCCAGGAUAUAUGGGAAGGGGGAUCUUAAUGGGAAGGCGGCAAAUCAAGACUUGCGAGCCCGGAGACCGGCCUGGAAGCAAAAGGAACA
rnacentral:ncRNA from 2 species